AAUGCUUUGUACUCUGACUAAGGUGCUGCUACAAGAUUAUGGGUCAGCACCUUGGCUAGGUGCAAUGCUAAA
rnacentral:pre_miRNA from 1 species